AGACUACACAGAGAGACCCUGUCUCAAACAAAUAAACUCAUCAUGUGCAUUUUCCAUUUGAUAUACUUUUGAAUUUUUUUUUAAAAAUGAAAGCAGAAUCUUGCAAAGUCAGGGAUCGGAUGAACUCUUUCAGUGUCUGCAAUCCCAGGAGACAAGUCGUUGCAUUUCAAUGGAUGGGUUCCUGGGGAUAGCUCGCCGGAUCUCAGGCUUCCUCAGCAAGCACUCUAAGGACAGCUGUACCUCCAGCCCCGUGUCAAGACAUCACAGCUGUCACAGUGAAGAUGGCUCUGCUCAGAUCAGUGACCUGUGUAGGGCUUAGAGUCUGAAGCAGAGACACAGAAUUCUGUAUCACCUCCAGCUUUCUGUCCAAUGGCAUGGAGUAUUCAGGUGGAGGAGCAGGGUUGCCUGAAUAUGACGAUCUCCCACCCAGGAGCAGAAAACUCUGACUACCCUGCUGGCUGCUGGCUGCUGCCUCCUGGGGAUGCUCCCAGCCACUACGCUGGGGACUUAUCCAGGUAACUCUGCUGCCGCUGCCCAGCAGGAGGCUUUGGACCUGUUUGACUGUUCAGUACUCUGCUCAUCCCAUCUUCUGUCUCCAGCCAGCCAUCCUUGUUUAACUUUCUGGAAGAUGAAUGUCUCCUAGGUUGUCUUUGGAAUCCCAUUUCUUUGACUUAAAGAGGCUGACAGGGUGAGAGAAACAAAGGCUGUUUAGGAUUUGAUCUCCCCUGAUUGUUUCUCUCUCGGUAAAGAGGUAAAUAAAAGGGAGGGGGAAGAAAAGAAAGAAAAAGGAGCCUGGGCUCAGCUCACCAGCUGUGGGUCCCUGAUGGGCCUGCCUGACGCAGUCACAUUGUGCAGGGGCUGGAGCACCUGUGAGGAGUUAAUGAGAAAAAUCCAGAAGUGUGGCUCCCACAAGGGCUCCCUUUAGAGUCCCACAGGGAUGACCCCACCCCUCCCCUGGCAAGUUUCAAUGACAGGUGGGAUUAAUCUCAGCAGGCUGUCCUUUGGAGACACUCCAUCAUCUCCUUUCUAGCUGGAAAGAGGGGUUCACCAUGUCAAGUUCUAGUGGUUUUCCUUGGGAUUUUAGGGUUUGAAGCUGUUUCUCAAGGUAAAGCUAAAAACCACAAAUAAAACGUUAAGGCUCCCAGGGGUGUCCUCCAGUAA
rnacentral:sRNA from 1 species